rnacentral:rRNA from 1 species
UGUCGUCAGCUCGUGUUGUGAAAUGUUGGGUUAAGUCCCGCAACGAGCGCAACCCUUAUCCUUGUUUGCCAGCGAGUAAUGUCGGGAACUCCAGGGAGACUGCCGGUGAUAAACCGGAGGAAGGUGGGGACGACGUCAAGUCAUCAUGGCCCUUACGAGUAGGGCUACACACGUGCUACAAUGGCGCAUACAGAGGGCGGCCAACUUGCGAAAGUGAGCGAAUCCCAAAAAGUGCGUCGUAGUCCGGAUUGGAGUCUGCAACUCGACUCCAUGAAGUCGGAAUCGCUAGUAAUCGUGGAUCAGAAUGCCACGGUGAAUACGUUCCCGGGCCUUGUACACACCGCCCGUCACACCAUGGGAGUGGGCUGCAAAAGAAGUGGGUAGUUUAACCUUCGGGAGGACGCUCACCACUUUGUGGUUCAUGACUGGGGUGAAGUCGUAACAAGGUAGCGCUAGGGGAACCUGGCGCUGGAUCACCUCCUUAUACGAUGAU